rnacentral:rRNA from 1 species
GAGGAACCUGCCUUUCAGAGGGGGACAACAGUUGGAAACGACUGCUAAUACCGCAUAACGCAUAGAGAUCGCAUGGUCUUUAUGCCAAAGAUUUAUCGCUGAAAGAUGGCCUCGCGUCUGAUUAGCUAGUUGGUGAGGUAACGGCCCACCAAGGCGACGAUCAGUAGCCGGACUGAGAGGUUGAACGGCCACAUUGGAACUGAGAUACGGUCCAGACUCCUACGGGAGGCAGCAGUGGGGAAUUUUGGGCAAUGGGCGAAAGCCUGACCCAGCGACGCCGCGUGAGGGAAGAAGGUCUUCGGAUUGUAAACCUUUGUUGACAGGGACGAAAAAAAUGACGGUACCUGUCGAGGAAGCCACGGCUAACUACGUG